UAGCAAUGUAAUAAAAGUAGGGUUUGAGCCAAUCGACUACUAAUAUUCCUUUGUUCGAUAUAAGGUGUAUUUAUAUAAAUGAAUUCGCUAUACAAUUUAGAGAUAAUAGAAAUAAUUCAUUUAUUAUCAUAGUUGGAGGAUUUUUUGAAAUGGAGUCUUGGAGUAACUGGUUAAGUUGCUACUAUAUGAUCUUAAGCCUAAGGUCAUGGGUUCACGCUGGUCUUUUCGGAUGAUCAGCCACACUGGGACCGAGAUGGACCUGAUUUGACGACGGUAGGGAAUCUUGGACAACAAGCGAAAGCCCAAUCUGGCAAUAUUGCGUGAGUGAAGAAGAAAAAUACUACUUGUAAAGCUCUUUCGUCGAGUAAGCGAUCAUGACAAGACUCGAGAAAGAAGCUCUAGCUAACUCCGUUCCAACAACUGCGGUAAGAUGGGGAGGGGGA
rnacentral:ncRNA from 1 species